ensembl:misc_RNA 7SK 7SK RNA
GGAUGUGAGGGUAAUCUGGCUGCAACAUCUGUCAUCCCAUUGAUUGCCAGGAUUGAUUCGGCUGAUCUGGCUGCUAGACUGCUGUUCCUUUCCUCCCUCAUUGCUCCAUGUGCUUCCCUCCUGAAGCUGCACUUGGUUUAAGAGGAUGGUCACGCCCAUAGAGGAGGCCCAUUGUUUCCUCCAUCAAGGGUAUAGGAGUUGCCGCACUCCCCUGCUAGACCCUCCAAACAAGCUCUCAAGAGUGAAGUUCCCUGGCUUUUGCCCUCCUCCAAUCUAUACCUGAAACCUUAAUUAGCAGAAAGAUAUAUUUAAUG